AAAUCUAUUAGCGUACUAGGCUCUUUGCGGGACGGAAGCUAGCAGCGCUACUCGUGCGUGCACUGACAUAAUACACAAGCGGGAUGCACGGUCCUGCAAUAAAGUAUGCGCGUCGUAUUGACCUGCUCAACAUGCAGGCCGGUAAAGGCUGCCCUGUGUCACGGCGUCGUGAUUCCAUAUAUAUGUAUUGUCAAAUGGAGAACAAUGAAAGCAAGUCACCAUCGUAGUAGCAGUGCUGGUUAAUGUACCUGUGCUCCCCUCAACCUUCAGUCUUAAUAAUUUAGAUAAGAGCGAUUUUGACUCAUGCAUUAAGUUUCCUUCGCCCGCCUGCAGGAAUCAGCGGCUGCGGCCAAGGCCCAGUUUGACAAGUUCGUGUUGGACAAGACGGAGGAGAAAGCGGCCUUUGACCUGGUGCUGGAAAAGACGGCGGCUGAGGCGGCGGCACAGAAGGCCAUUGCUGACAAGGCGUUAGUUGACUUCGGCGAGCUGCAGGUAUUGUGCUUGGGGAAGGGUCUCGCGUACUUCGAGGAGGUCUGGAUUGAUAAUCACCCCAAAUUCUGCUGCUCACGAGCAGGAGUCUUCAACGGCUGCUAAGGCCCAGUUUGACAAGUUCGUAUUGGACAAGGCGGAGGAGAAAGCGGCCUUUGACUUGGUGCUGGAGAAGACGACGGCUGAGGCGGCGGCACAGAAGGCCAUUGCUGACAAGGCGUUAGUGGACUUCGGCGAGCUGCAGGUAUUGUGCUUGGGGAAGGGUCUCGCGUACUUCGAGGAGGUCUGGAUUGAUAAUCACCCCAAAUUCUGCUGCUCACGAGCAGGAGUCUUCAACUGCCGCCAAGGCCCAGUUUGACAAGUUCGUGUUGGACAAGGCGGAGGAGAAAGCGGCCUUUGAUCUGGUGCUGGAGAAGACCACAGCUGAGGCGGCGGCACAGAAGGCCAUUGCUGACAAGGCGUUAGUGGACUUCGGCGAGCUGCAGGUAUUGUGCUUGGGGAAGGGUCUCGCGUACUUCGAGGAGGUCUGGAUUGAUAAUCACCCCAAAUUCUGCUGCUCACGAGCAGGAGUCUUCAACUGCCGCCAAGGCCCAGUUUGACAAGUUCGUGUUGGACAAGGCGGAGGAGAAAGCGGCCUUUGAUCUGGUGCUGGAGAAGACGACAGCUGAGGCGGCGGCACAGAAGGCCAUUGCUGACAAGGCGUUAGUGGACUUCGGCGAGCUGCAGGUAUUCUGCUUGGGAAAGGGUCUCGCGUACUUCGAGGAGGUCUAUUAUUGAUAAUUAACCCAAAAUUGGCUGCUCACGAGCAGGAGUCUUCAACUGCCGCCAAGGCCCAGUUUGACAAGUUCGUGUUGGACAAGGCGGAGGAGAAAGCGGCCUUUGACUUGGUGCUGGAGAAGACGACGGCUGAGGCGGCGGCACAGAAGGCCAUUGCUGACAAGGCGUUAGUGGACUUCGGCGAGCUGCAGGUAUUCUGCUUGGGAAAGGGUCUCGCGUACUUCGAGAAGGUUUGUUUUGAU
rnacentral:lncRNA from 1 species